GUAGGUGGCAAGCGUUGUCCGGAUUUAUUGGGCGUAAAGCGAGCGCAGGCGGUUUCUUAAGUCUGAUGUGAAAGCCCCCGGCUUAACCGGGGAGGGUCAUUGGAAACUGAGGAACUUGAGUGCAGAAGAGGAGAGUGGAAUUCCAUGUGUAGCGGUGAAAUGCGUAGAUAUAUGGAGGAACACCAGUGGCGAAGGCGACUCUCUGGUCUGUAACUGACGCUGAGGCUCGAAAGCGUGGGGAGCAAAC
rnacentral:rRNA from 1 species